rnacentral:rRNA from 1 species
AUUGAACGCUGGCGGCAUGCUUUACACAUGCAAGUCGAACGGUAACAGGCCGCAAGGUGCUGACGAGUGGCGAACGGGUGAGUAAUGCAUCGGAACGUGCCCAGUCGUGGGGGAUAACGCAGCGAAAGCUGCGCUAAUACCGCAUGCGAUCUAUGGAUGAAAGCGGGGGACCGAAAGGCCUCGCGCGAUUGGAGCGGCCGAUGUCAGAUUAGGUAGUUGGUGGGGUAAAGGCUCACCGAGCCAACGAUCUGUAGCUGGUCUGAGAGGACGACCAGCCACACUGGGACUGAGACACGGCCCAGACUCCUACGGGAGGCAGCAGUGGGGAAUUUUGGACAAUGGGCGCAAGCCUGAUCCAGCAAUGCCGCGUGCAGGAAGAAGGCCUUCGGGUUGUAAACUGCUUUUGUACGGAACGAAACGGUCCUGGUUAAUACCUGGGGCUAAUGACGGUACCGUAAGAAUAAGCACCGGCUAACUACGUGCCAGCAGCCGCGGUAAAAC